GAUCAUGGCUCAGGAUGAACGCUAGCUACAGGCUUAACACAUGCAAGUCGAGGGGCAGCAUGGUCUUAGCUUGCUGAGGCUGAUGGCGACCGGCGCACGGGUGAGUAACACGUAUCCAACCUGCCGUCUACUCUUGGACAGCCUUCUGAAAGGAAGAUUAAUACAAGAUGGCAUCAUGAGUCCGCAUGUUCACAUGAUUAAAGGUAUUCCGGUGGACGAG
rnacentral:rRNA from 1 species